UACGAAGGACCCGAGCGUUAUCCGGAUUUAUUGGGCUUAAAGGGUGCGUAGGCGGCUUUACAAGUCAGUGGUGAAAUCUCCCAGCUCAACUGGGAAACUGCCAUUGAAACUGUUUAUCUUGAGUACAUUUGAGGCGGGCGGAAUGUGUCAUGUAGAGGUGAAAUUCUUAGAUAUGACACAGAACACCAAUGGCGAAGGCAGCUCGCUAAACUGUAACUGACGCUGAGGCACGAAAGCGUGGGGAGCAAACAGG
rnacentral:rRNA from 1 species